UAGGGAAUCCUCCACAAUGGACGCAAGUCUGAUGGAGCAACGCCGCGUGAGUGAAGAAGGGUUUCGGCUCGUAAAGCUCUGUUGUUAAAGAAGAACGUGGGUAAGAGUAACUGUUUACCCAGUGACGGUAUUUAACCAGAAAGCCACGGCUAACUACGUGCCAG
rnacentral:rRNA from 1 species